ACUUGACAAAGACGGGAAACCCCUACUCUCUAGAAUGACCCUGAGUAAACCCAUAGGGUCAACUCCCAUUAAGCUUACCCUGAAUAUAGAACACCCCAGCCCAAGGGAUGCAGGAGAAUAUGUGAUGGGGAUGUACUGGAAGGGAGGUGGCUCACAUAAUGCACUGGGGACAUUUUACCUACAAGACAUGCUCACCUCCCCAGACUGGGUAGGGACCACACACAUGAUCAUUAACCCAUUAAAACCCCAUAUUAAGACCCUACAUGACAUGGUAGCUAUAGCCAACCCCACCUUUGAAGACACCAUGGCAGUGGAGACUGGGUUUUCAGACACUAAUUUGUGGCUAGAAUGGAUGAGGUAUAAUGCCAACUCACAUAAUAGAACUAACUGCUACGUAUGUGGAGGAGCCAGGCCCCAUCUGGGCACAGUACCUCUGAGCUUACCUCCUGAAGUAGAAUUAUGUGUUUUAAGCCUUUAUGCACAGUCCACUACAAACUCCUCAACAUGUGAAUCAUGGAAGAGAGUUUACCCAAUCACUCAUGGACAUGUAAAGCCACCUGAUGGAGUCACCGUCUACCCAGGUAAUUACACAUGCUAUUCAAUACCUAAGAACACUGGUUUGUAUCUGGGCAAAUUCCCAUCAGGAUACUGCUCAACUUACCAUAGUCCACCUGUAUCAUUGCUAAUGAACCACACAAAGACAAUCGGUGAUAUCUAUUGGUUAUGUGGUGAUAAACAAUUGAGGUCCCAACUAGCUGGGCAAUGGUGGGGGGAGUGUGCCCUAACCAAAGUUAUAAUGCCUAUCCACAUUAUUCCAGAUGGUAGUCAUAACACACUAAACCUUACACAUGUACAUCCUAGAACCAAACGAGAGGCUCCCAUCCGAGGGAGCUUCGACCCCCAUGUGUAUAUUGAUGCCAUAGGUGUGCCAAGGGGGGUGCCUAACGAAUUUAAAGCAAGAGAUGAAGUGGCAGCAGGAUUUGAAUCCUUAAUUCCAAUGAUAACUGCUAAUAAGAAUGUCAAUUGGAUCAACUACAUCUAUUAUAAUCAGCAGCGCUUCGUUAACUACACAAGGGAUGCCCUACAGGGCCUGGCAGAGCAGUUACAAGCUACUACCCAAAUGACAUUUCAGAACAGAAUGGCCCUGGAUAUGAUUUUAGCUGAGAAAGGGGGUGUAUGUAAAAUCCUCCCUGAGACUAUGACAUGCUGUACAAACAUUCCAGACAACACUGGGCCCAAUGGUAAGGUAACUAUGGCCAUAGAGAAGCUAGAUAGUCUUUCUGACGAGCUAAAGAAGAAUUCAGGAGUCACUGACACCUGGGACAGAUGGUUUGGGUGGAUGAAUGGUUGGCAAAGGACCCUCUUCCAGGUGUUCUUAUAAUGAUUAUCAUCUUCUUAUUUUUAACCUGUUGCGUGCUCCCUUGCAUACAGAAGUACUUACAGAAGGCAGUAGAUAAGACUAUAGAUGACGUUACCCCUACUUUCCUACAUCAAGACAUCACAGACCUCGAAGAUGACACUCCACAUACACCCCUUCAAUCACAUCAGUUCAAACAGACAACUGCUUUUUUGUAGGGACAGUAUAGGGAAAGCAUCUGUCUUAACGGGCAAGUCUCACGUGCGGAGAUGUGGUGGACUAGCUACUGUGGGUUACCCACGGAGUGAAGAGUUCGAUGCUUGCGAAGACAGAUGAGCUGCAGGCGGCUAGGGAUACACUAGGGACAGUAGCAAGUUGUCAUAGUAAAUAGCCAUUUUAGGGGGGACUGUUGUGGAAAUAAGGUCUGCACAUAUUUCCAAGUUAAUGAAAAUGUCUAUUUACUCAUUUCACUAUACACAAUAUAUAAGCUAAGCACACAUGUUUUAAUCAAAAAGGCUGCUAGAAGCUUCUAACUUCUCCUCCCUCUCCCUUUAACACCAACUAACUACCUCGUGCAGCAAGAUGGCGCCGGGAAACCGUGGGAGACCCUCAUGGCCCUGGUGACAUCACCUUCAGUAGGCAGAGCAUUAGAGCGACCACUUAACACCUAACCAAUUAUUGAUGUAUUAUUCCAUGUUAUCUCUGACAAUGCUUAUGAUGUAAUUUUGCUUUAAAAGGGACCUGCCGUCCCCUCUGAAUAAACUUUCCUCAAGUUAUUCAACAACCUGGAAC